GAACUCUCAGAGAAGACAAGGGAACCCAGGGCAGGAGCAGCAGCAGCAAUCACUCCAUGGGGACCUCGGAACUCUGAGAAAAAAGCUUCAUCACCACCCUGGCAUAGCCAUGCAGGGUGGAGGUGGCUGCAGUUUGCUCAUCAAUGAAAUGCUCAUGAACACUGAAGACCUCAAGAAGUGAGACAUGGACUAGAGAAAGAAGAAAAUGAAAAGGAGGAACGGAAGGAUACUUUAGUAGACGACAUAUUGAAAAAUGAAAAGCAGGCUGCAUGUGGAAUUUGCAAAACCAUAAGGAUUAUGUGUCUAGGAAGAGUUUUAUAGAACAUUUAAUAUAUGGUUUUCCUUGGGAAUUACUCCUCUCAUUUUCUGUUCUCUCUUCUCUAAAAAUGAGAUAGUAAUACCUGCCACAUAUGGUGAUGGUAAGGAUUAGAUUACAUCAAGCAUAUAAAAUACUUAGACCAAGA